ensembl:lncRNA
AUACUUGAGACUGGUUCCUAACAACAAAUUAGACCUCGUCUUUGGAGGGGUGCAGCCGGCGGAGGGGGACUGACUGGCUUCCACACAUGCCUCCUUGAGCCCUCAGACACUCAUGGGUCCACUGGCCAGAGAUGGAGAAAUUGUAACUCAGAUACUCCAAUUCGACUCAAUUCAACAAACACUGAGCACCUAUGAUGUGCAAGAAGUUGGCAGUCUGCAACCCGGAAGAGGACUCUCACCAGAACCCGACGAUGCCGGCACGGUGAUCUUGGACUUCCAGCCUCCAGAACCGACCACAAGAUCUGGUUACAUUCUGGGAGAAAGGAUAUUUCCAUCUAUAUUUAGAGGGUGGGAAAAAAUACCUACUGACAGAGAAAAAUCAUCAAUGAAAUAUUUCAAGAAAAUUUCCCAGAGCUGAAGGAAAAGUUUCCACAUCAAAAGGGACCACUCCAGCACAGUGCAUGGAAAGAGACCCACAGCAAGGACCAAGACAGCCGUCGUUCCCCUGCUGGGCUGGCCAACAGGCUUCCUCCAAGACGGCUCACUCAAUGGCCAAUCCCAGCACCACCCCUCACAGCUCUGUCCCUCUGCCUCUAGACUCUCACUGUUCUUAGAAGGCAGGUCGGGACAGGAGGAGUCAGAUUUCCUAGAAAAGAUGAAGGGACAAUUCACUGAGAUAUUAAUACGUGUUCUCUCGCUGUUUCUCCUCCCCAUUACAAGCAGGUAGCCAGACCUGGCUAUGUUCUUGCCUGAGGGAAUUUUGCAAAGCAGGUCUUGAGGAGUCUCCGGGAAGAGCUGGUUGAUGUCCUGCAGGGGGCACCUCUGAGAGUAGCACUGAAAAGAGAUUUUAUCCCCUAGCCUGUGGGAGCUCACAGUGAGGCCUGUGAAGAGGCCCGUCCCUGGGUGCGCCUGGGCCUCCUGGACCCUAGAACCUGGGGCUUCCAGUCUUGCUAGAUAUUCCUGCACUGGAGAUAUUGUACAGAAAGCACAGAACCACCUGACGUGAAGGGUCCAUGUCAGACUAAGUCAUUGGGAGUCCAAGUGGUAUUUGGGGGCGGCCAAUGACUGAUGACAGGAGGAAACUCCGAAAGUUUCCACACAGUUCUAGUAGGGGUGUGAGAGCACUAGGGUAGAUUAAAGUUGAUUUAGAAGAAUUAAAGGUAUAUGAAUUAAUGGAGCCAUUCGAACCAGGUGCAUGUCAGGGCCUCCCUGGAGCUGACCACACGGGGUUUGGGCUCUGUGUUGGGAAGACUUUUGCUCCUGGGUGGCCAUUCCCAAGAGGAUGGCCAGGCCAGACCAGACACUGGUGCCCAAGAGGUGCCAAGACCACUGGCAAGAAGAAGGAAUUUCCACGAAUGGUUUAAACUAGUUGAGAUUCAUCUCUCUAGGCUGGGAAGGGGACCUUGAGUUUGUGGCCAUCAGGUCUGGACCAAGACAGAAAGGUGGACAGAGAAGGCUGUUGGGUAGGAAGCGGCCAUGUCUGCUCACACCUACGCUCUACCUUGAGAAUUUCUGAAGUCUGUUGGAUGUUGCCAUUUAAUCUGAAAGGAAAGAAGGUGGAAAAGAAGACCAACCUGUUCUUUCUGAUAAUAAAAGUAACACUGGGAGGAGCAGCAGCAUGGCUGUCCCUGAGCUGGGGGCAGACGUGUGUGGGUCUGUCUGGGUCACUGGUGGGGAAGAAAUCUGUCUGCCUGGGGGUCAAAGGAACCCCCGGGGAAGCAUCCACAUCAGAGGCAGAGCGUACCCUCAAGGAGAGAUCCCAACAUGGUGAGUCUGAAGCAGUAUGAAGCCUCGGCCCUCAGCGAGGAGGACCGACUGGAGAUCAGCGAGUGCUGUCCCACAGACUGUCCCCUUGCCCGGCACCCCUAUGUCCUCAACAGCUCCGUGAAGCCCAGAGUUAGGCUAAAAUAGAAUGCUGGGCUGUGGCAAAGCCCUGACUGAUUGCAGCUCCGGCUUUGAAACCAUGAGGCAACGUGUAGCGAUUUUCCUGGAAUGAUGUGGCUUUGAGGAUCCCAGAGGCUAUGGUGCCGCUGUGGGACCCUUUGCAGAGCCCUGAUCACCAGCACAGUGGGGUCCCGAAGUGACGACAGUGCUGCCCAGCAGGCAGGCUGCCCAGCAAAGGCGGCUGAGACCCCAGGGACUGACAGCACAGCCCGAGGGUAAAGGCGACAGCACCAGGUCUCUUCGCCUGGACUUGCUCCCUGGUGAAUCCCAGCCUGGCUCCCGCGGGCACACACAGGGCUGUGUGGGAAUUAGACACAGGCGCCCGGCUGGGCAGACAAAUCACGAAAAGGCGGCCCUCCUCUGCUCUGAAGCGGGGCUUGACAGACGGGGCUCAGGCUGAAUUUCGGCCUCACCUCGCGGCCAGGCACUUCUGGACAAUGACUCUGGACAUCCACGAAACACCAGUGGAGUGGCAGAUGUGCAGAGAAGGGGAUGGGAGCUGUCAUGAAAGUGUGUGUGUCGGGGUGGGGGUGGUAAAAUACUCUGAUUAGAACAAAAUGUUUUUAAAACCCAGAAGAGUAUAAAGAAGAAAGUUGAAAUCACCCCAGUCUCAAUCUUUGAUGUUCAAGCCUCAGAAAAUUUGAUGCAGAGAGAAAUCAGAUCCAGAGGAUCCUUUAAAGCCCUUCCUUUGAUGUUGCUGUUGAGUCUUGCGCCAAACCAGGGCCUUUGUGGGAUGCCGGACCCAGCCGCUCCCUCAGCAGCCUGGGCUGGGGGCCCUGCUGACAUACAAGUUAUGCCGAACAAAGUUAUUGCUUCCUCUGCAGCCGAGACUUGGGAAUUCCAUUUCUCUUCGUAAGACCCAGUGUGUUGGAUUCCUGGGGCUCACAGCCCCUGGGAACCCCCCAACCUCUGGAAAACCAUUGAUUCAUUCUCUUUCAAGAAUAUUUCCUGAGCACCUCCUCUGCCCCAUUUUUACCCUCAGGAAAAAAAAUCACAGUGUGUAGAAAGGAACGGUUGGGUCCCUCCCCCUCUGCCUGCGUGGCCAGCUGUUGAUUCCUUGCAGCUGUUCCUCCUGCUCAGAGCCUGGCCUCCCUUGGGCGGCGCCCCCACGAGACAAUCACACUGCAUGCCAGAGAUCCGUUUUAUGUUGUUUCUCUCCAGCGGUCAGUCCCAGUACUCGUCCCAUAAUACUCCUGUGCUGUGUUCUGCCUUUUGCAACAUCCUUUAUACUGGCUCAGGACUAGAUUCUGCCAUUACCCUAAAGGUCCCAGCAGAUGACAGAAAGUGAUUGCAGUAGACGGAAGGAAAAUGUCAGACAAAGCUCCAAGGAGGAGGUGGGUUGGAAGGACUAUGAGGUUUUCAAAACGUGAAAAUGGCAGAGGAAGGCUAUUUUAGGCACAGAUGGCAGCGUGGGCAGAGCAUCCUGGGGAUAUGCCAAUGUAACCCAGCACACUGUUUCAGCACAUGCAAACCUCACAUGAAGGCUGACAUCACACACCUGCACGCUCACACCUGUACACAGGCUUCUAACUAAGGCUGAACCCUAAGAGCUUUAAUGCCGCCAUAGUGGGGAAGGGUGGCGAGUAGCUUCUGAUGCCAGAGGUGGAAGCUUCAAUUAGCCUUGAGGGCAGAUCCUUCCUUCCCCUCCUCCCUUUCCUUCCUAUCUUCCUUCUUUCCUGCCUCCUGCCUUCUUUUCUUCAUCACCAAAAAGGGCCCUCGGGUCCCACAAAUAUAAUGUGACCAUUGUUCUUGGGGAAAACUGUUAAGUGAUUAACUCGUAAAGGACUGUGUGUGCAUGCGGCUGAGCUAUGUUAUCAAAGCUGCUGGCAGUGUGCUGGUGGUGGUGCUGGGGAGCAGGAGGGCGGGACGGGCAAAGCUUCUGCAAGUGUGCAGGUUGGAUGACAGCACUGUACCUCCGCUGUCGCUCGUUCCUAAGGAAAUAGAUGAUGGCUGAAAUAGAAAAUAGGGGACAGAUUGCGCCAGAUUGUUUUAAAAGCUGUUUCUUCAGAAAUAUGAAAAUUCGGAAUACAUAGACACCGCAAACACGCUAACAGAUAACUGCAUAACGUUGUUUCGAAGUCAAAGAACUGUUUCUAAAAAAUAAUAUCAUAGAAGCUGCACUAUCAACGAGCAUAAAUGAACAGUUGAUGUGUGUGCAGAUAUAUUGUCAAUAACCUCUAG